AGCGAACGCUGGCGGCAGGCCUAACACAUGCAAGUCGAACGGACCCUUCGGGGUUAGUGGCGGACGGGUGAGUAACACGUGGGAACGUGCCCUUUGGUUCGGAACAACUCAGGGAAACUUGAGCUAAUACCGAAUGUGCCCUUUGGGGGAAAGAUUUAUCGCCAUUGGAGCGGCCCGCGUCUGAUUAGCUAGUUGGUGGGGUAAUGGCCUACCAAGGCUACGAUCAGUAGCUGGUCUGAGAGGAUGAUCAGCCACAUUGGGACUGAGACACGGCCCAAACUCCUACGGGAGGCAGCAGUGGGGAAUCUUGCGCAAUGGGCGAAAGCCUGACGCAGCCAUGCCGCGUGAAUGAUGAAGGUCUUAGGAUUGUAAAAUUCUUUCACCGGGGACGAUAAUGACGGUACCCGGAGAAGAAGCCCCGGCUAACUUCGUGCCAGCCGCCGCCGUAA
rnacentral:rRNA from 1 species